UGGGGCAUAUUCAGAGCUCUAAGAUUGCUGCAGCUUCACUAAGGAUCAGAGCUCCAACAGACCUUCUUCUAUAGCCACAGGCUUUAACUCCCUAAACAGAAAGCCAAGUGUCUCGGUUCCUCAUGUGGAGGAGUCAGGAGGGGAAAUAUCUCAGCCCCAAAGGUCUGGUUGUUGGAACUCUGGUCCACCAAGCAUAUCUGAAGGAAGAAUAAGGCAGUGUCUCCCCUAUAUGGUCUUUGGUUUCUGGAUUGUCCUCCACUUCAUCUAACUUGGAAGGACUCCAACUUACAGGUAAAGCUCAGGGGGUUAAGGAACUUGCACCAUGUCACACAGUCAGGGUGGGGAGCAGGUCUUCCUGACAUGUUCUUUCUCUGUUCCCCAGCAACAGAGUUGCUGGGGGUCCGCUGGAGCCUUUCAUUUUGUCUUUCUCAGUGGUGAAUCCAUACAUUUACCUUCACAUCCUUUUUCCCACUUAGAACUAAAACUGCUCUGUACAUUUAGUUCUUACCUCUCUCCCACUUCCUUUGCUGGUCCCAAGAUGUUCUGAGUCCUGCUUCAACUUCUCUAUUCCGCUCAGCCCGCGUCAGUCUGUUUUCCUGGCAAACUCUUUCCUGUUUCUCUGGGUCUCUCACCCUUCUCCUUUCUGUACACAGCAAUUUCAUUUCCACAGCCUCAGCUUACCCUGUGACCGAGACUGUCUGUGCUAGCCUCAGCAGGAUUGUUAUCAGUAGCUCAGGCCGGGCUAGGUCAGCUGCACACCAAGUGUGGGGUUGGGGGUAGGGGGGAUAGUAGGGAGUG